rnacentral:rRNA from 1 species
AGUAAACGCUGGCGGUAGGCCUAACACAUGCAAGUCGAACGGCAGCACAGUAAGAGCUUGCUCUUACGGGUGGCGAGUGGCGGACGGGUGAGGAAUACAUCGGAAUCUACUUUUUCGUGGGGGAUAACGUAGGGAAACUUACGCUAAUACCGCAUACGACCUACGGGUGAAAGCAGGGGAUCUUCGGACCUUGCGCGAUUGAAUGAGCCGAUGUCGGAUUAGCUAGUUGGCGGGGUAAAGGCCCACCAAGGCGACGAUCCGUAGCUGGUCUGAGAGGAUGAUCAGCCACACUGGAACUGAGACAUGGUCCAGACUCCUACGGGAGGCAGCAGUGGGGAAUAUUGGACAAUGGGCGCAAGCCUGAUCCAGCCAUACCGCGUGGGUGAAGAAGGCCUUCGGGUUGUAAAGCCCUUUUGUUGGGAAAGAAAAGCAGCAGGUUAAUACCCCGCUGUUCUGACGGUACCCAAAGAAUAAGCACCGGCUAACUUCGUG